rnacentral:lncRNA from 1 species
ACUACCAAAUCUCUAAAGUCUCUCUGAGCUACCACAUGGAUAUAUAUUAUUCCAAGUGGAACAUCUUUUUUUUUUUUUUUCCGUCUGAAGAUUUCAUUGAUAUAAUGCGGUAGAGUUAUACAUAGCCGACAAGAAUCGAAAUCCUUUCGGAAACUAGGCCGGCGGGUACAUAGAAACCCCCAGAGACUAAGGCCGAAAAAUGCAAGCUAAGGCCGAAAAAGGCGAGCUAAGGCCGAAAAGGGCGAGCUAACAGAAAACCUUAGGCAAUAGAUUACAUGGAAAACAACUAAGGGGAAAAAAGCUAAAGACUCCAAAGCAAACAAACUGCAAACUCUUCCCAACAAGCAGUCGACUAACACUUCCAUAGAACAUUUUGGCGCUGAAGAGAGGUUACUGACAGGAGCCUCGGAACCGAGAGGGAAAUAAAACCUAGCUCACACAACCAUCUCCACAGUAGAAACGAAGACGACGAACAAGAAGAUCAAAGCACAGAACCUAACCACAACGACCACUUUAGUGCCAAUGAAAACGAGAAGGCGGAGGCUCAAGGAGAAACCUUGAAAUCUGAGAGGGGAAACGCCAAAUAGGACCACCCAUCCUUACACACGGACCUUCGUAGACCCAGCCAAAGCCACCUACAGACUAAUGACUGGUUACGCCACGCAAAGAGAAGGAUAAGAGAUCGACCCACCACAACGUCCAAAACUCAACCAGGAAACCAAACGAGCUUCCAAGAGAGAGCUAGUAGAUGCCAUUAUAGGAGGCUAGCAUCCGAAUGAAGAGCCCACAAAACAGAACCUAUCGCCAAAUCACCACACAGCAAAUCAAGACGGAAAACAGAAGAGAGGCCGAGCAAGGAGUCAAAACAAGCCUUCCCAAAAGCAGAACCUAAGGCUUUCAACCACAACAAGUAGAGAAACACACAACACAAACCAUAGAAGUCACUCACCACCUAUAGAGGAAUAACCCGAAACGAUGAAGCCGAUGUCACAAAACCAAAGGGAUCUUCGUAGCCAUGUCGUGGAAACGAAAAGCUGACUAAAUACAAGCCUCCAACGAGACAGCACCACCGCAAAGCCAACAAAUUCCAAGAACAAAACUCACAAGACACCACCUCGAAAGCAACCGGAGCAUACAACAAGACACCAGCGACUCCCAAUCCAACGAGAACAGAGCCAAAGGACCAGAUUGUCGAGACAUUAGAACUAGAUCGGGAACCAAAAAACCUCCAAGAUCAGAUCAGACAAGAAGGAACCACCGGGGAACAGAUCCUUCAAUGAACCUCACCGAUCCGCCACCAAAUCUCUGAGAUAGUCACCACGCUGGUAGGAACCACCAUCGCCGAGAGAAAAGGAAGAAGGAAGGAGACGACGAAGCUACGGUUUGUCAAAUCAAAAAAGACAAACAAGAACCAACAAAGAAAGGAAGCAGAUGGGACCGACGAUGGUGCUGUGGAAGCCACCCAUCGCCGGCCAUCGGAGAGGAGUUUUGCUUGGCGGCUAGGGCGAAUUAGGAGAGAGGAGAGAGCCAAUCGCCUAUGUUUAUAUAGAGUACUGAGUGGAACAUCUUAUAAGUUAGGACUUAGGACUAUACCUCUCUUCUUCAAAUAUAUAGUAUUAAAGAAACUUUUGCCAAUUGAUAUCUACAUUAAGAUUUUGAAAGAUUGUGCAUAAUUAUAU